UGGGGAAUUUUGGACAAUGGGCGAAAGCCUGAUCCAGCAAUGCCGCGUGUGUGAAGAAGGCCUUCGGGUUGUAAAGCACUUUUGUCCGGAAAGAAAUCCUUGGCUCUAAUACAGUCGGGGGAUGACGGUACCGGAAGAAUAAGCACCGGCUAACUACGUGCCAGCAGCCGCGGUAAUACGUAGGGUGCAAGCGUUAAUCGGAAUUACUGGGCGUAAAGCGUGCGCAGGCGGUUUGCUAAGACCGAUGUGAAAUCCCCGGGCUCAACCUGGGAACUGCAUUGGUGACUGGCAGGCUAGAGUAUGGCAGAGGGGGGUAGAAUUCCACGUGUAGCAGUGAAAUGCGUAGAGAUGUGGAGGAAUACCGAUGGCGAAGGCAGCCCCCUGGGCCAAUACUGACGCUCAUGCACGAAAGCGUGGGGAGCAAAACAGGAUUAGAUACCCUGGUAGUCCACGCCCUAAAACGAUGUCAACUAGUUGUGGGGAUUCAUUUCCUUAGUAACGUAGCUAACGCGUGAAGUUGACCGCCUGGGGAGUACGGUCGCAAAGAUUAAAAACUCAAAGGAAUUGACGGGGUCAUAGCUGUUUCCU
rnacentral:rRNA from 1 species